UACGUAGGGUGCGAGCGUUGUCCGGAAUUAUUGGGCGUAAAGAGCUUGUAGGCGGCUUAGUAAGUCGGGUGUGAAACCUCCAGGCUCAACCUGGAGACGCCACCCGAUACUGCUGUGGCUAGAGUCCGGUAGGGGAGCGUGGAAUUCCUGGUGUAGCGGUGAAAUGCGCAGAUAUCAGGAGGAACACCGAUGGCGAAGGCAGGUCUCUGGGCAUUAACUGACGCUGAGGAGCGAAAGCAUGGGGAGCGAACAGG
rnacentral:rRNA from 1 species